UCUUCGGAGUUAGUGGCGGACGGGUGAGUAACGCGUGAGGAUCUGCCCUUAGGUUGGGGAUAACAGUUGGAAACGACUGCUAAUACCCAAUGUGCCGAGAGGUGAAAGGUUUACUGCCUGAGGAUGAGCUCGCGUCCGAUUAGCUAGUUGGUGGGGUAAUAACGUACCAAGGCGACGAUCGGUAGCUGGUCUGAGAGGAUGAUCAGCCACACUGGGACUGAGACACGGCCCAGACUCCUACGGGAGGCAGCAGUGGGGAAUUUUCCGCAAUGGGCGAAAGCCUGACGGAGCAAGACUGCGUGCGGGAGGACGGCCUGUGGGUUGUAAACCGCUUUUGACAGGGAAGAAGAUCUGACGGUACCUGUCGAAUCAGCAUCGGCUAACUCCGUGCCAGCAGCCGCGGUAAUACGGAGGAUGCAAGCGUUAUCCGG
rnacentral:rRNA from 1 species